UCUCGCGGGAAGUAGGGGCGGGGCUGGCCCUCCCGCUCCGUUCCCGGUGCUGGGACUCUGUCGCCCUCGCCUCCGUUGAGGGCGGCAGCUGCCCCGGAGGUUCCGCUGCUCGCCGCGUUCCUCCCGCCGUCCAUGUCGGUGGCUCACCGCAGGGAAUCAGGAGGGAACUCGCUUUCAAACCACCAACUGACGUCUUUCUGAAGUUGAAACAAAUCUGAGAUGCAUUAGAAUUCCAAGCCCUCCUUUUGCUUAAGGUAUGGUGUGAAUAUGCGUUGCUUGGCAGCUCGGGUCAACUACAAGACUCUGAUUGUCAUCUGUGCCCUCUUCACCUUGGUGAUGGUGCUGCUGUGGAACCGCUGCUCCUCGGACAGAGCCGGCCCCUUCCCCCGCAGCCCGGCGGGGCUGGAGCGCCGAGCCGCCGCCUCCGACAGCGACCCGGGCAGGCAGCAGAGCGAGGAGGCAUCGCCCCAGGAGCAGCAGAAGGCUCCUCCUGUCGCCGGCGGCUUCAACAACAAAGCCCCGGGGCUGAAGUAUGAGGAGAUCGACUGCCUGAUCAACGAUGAGCACACCAUUAAAGGCAGGAGGGAAGGCAACGAGGUCUUCCUGCCCUUCAGCUGGGUGGAGAAGUACUUUGAGGUGUACGGGAAGAUUGCUCAGUACGAUGGCUACGACAGGUUUGAGUUCUCUCAUAGCUACUCCAAAGUGUACACGCAGCGAGCACCUUACCACCCUGACGGGGUCUUCAUGUCCUUUGAGGGCUACAACGUGGAGGUUCGGGACAGAGUGAAGUGCAUAAGCGGAGUCGAAGGUGUGCCCUUGUCCACGCAGUGGGGCCCUCAGGGCUAUUUCUACCCCAUCCAGAUUGCACAGUAUGGCUUGAGCCACUACAGCAAGAACCUGACAGAGAAGCCACCUCACAUCGAGGUCUAUGAGACAGCUGAAGAGAAGGACAAAGGCAGCAGGGCUGCAGACUGGACGGUGCCAAAAGGCUGCUCCUUGUCCACGGUGACAGACAAAGCCAAGCUCACCAGCGUCAAGCAGUUCAUUGCACCAGAGCACACGGAGGGGGUGGCUCUGCAGCUGGGGAACAGCCGAGAUUUCAUCAUUUCUUUUGAUCUCAAGUUCACCACCAACGGCAGCAUCUCCGUGGUCCUGGAGACGACGGAGAAGAACCAGCUCUUCACCGUGCACUACGUCUCCAACACCCAGCUCAUCGCUUUCAAGGACAGAGACAUCUACUACGGCAUCGGGCCCAGGACUAGCUGGAGCACCCUCACCAGGGACCUGGUCACCGACCUGCGGAAGGGCGUUGGCCUCUCCAACACAAAAGCUGUGAAGCAGACCAAAAUCAUGCCCAAGAGAGUGGUGAGGCUGGUAGCCAAGGGUAGAGGCUUCCUCGAUAACGUCACCAUCUCGGCCACCGCUCACAUGGCAGCUUUCUUCGCUGCCAGCAACUGGCUGGUGAGGAACCAGGACGAGCGGGGUGGCUGGCCCAUCAUGGUGACGAGGAAGCUGGGGGAAGGCUUCAAGUCCUUGGACCCGGGCUGGUACUCAGCCAUGGCUCAGGGCCAGGCCAUCUCCACCUUGGUGCGGGCCUACCUGCUGACGAAGGAGCAGACGUUCCUGAGCUCGGCUCUGCGGGCCACGGCGCCCUACAAGCUGCCAUCAGAGCAGCGCGGGGUGAAGGCUGUCUUCAUGAACCGCCACGACUGGUACGAGGAGUACCCCACCUCGCCCAGCUCCUUCGUGCUCAACGGCUUCAUGUACUCCUUAAUCGGGCUUUAUGACUUAAAAGAAACAGCUGGGGAGAAGCUGGGGCGGGAGGCCCGCGUCCUCUACGAGCGGGGCAUGGAGUCCCUGAAGGCCAUGCUCCCCCUCUACGACACCGGCUCAGGGACCAUCUACGACCUUCGGCACUUCAUGCUCGGCACCGCUCCCAACCUGGCCCGCUGGGACUAUCACACCACCCACAUCAACCAGCUCCAGCUCCUCAGCACCAUAGAUGAGUCGCCCAUCUUCAAAGAGUUCGUCAGGAGGUGGAAGAGCUACCUGCGAGGCGGGCGGGCAAAGCACAACUAGAGCCUGCGCCCAGAGCCCUGGCGCCCGCCGCCUCGCCCAGCCACCGCGCCCCGGCUCCCAGCCCACCUUCGCUUCGGUUCUUCUAACUGACUCUCUCAAAAGAAGUGAUCCUUAAAACUGAUCUCCGGAUGAAAUCAUUGCAUUCCAGUGAGGGAAAUCGUUUGGGUUCGAGGGGUGGGAGCUGAGAACUUCACCUGUCCUUGGUGCCCCACAGCAAAACGAUCUGCACAAAGCCAAACCUCUUUGUGCUCUCGAGUUUGAAGGCCGGGGAUGGGGUGGGGGGGGUGGGGGAUGGAUUCUUGGCUUUGGAGUUUUGUUUUUAACUUCUUUUGUUUCCCCUAGGAAAAGAUUUGCAGAAGCCAUACAGGUCUCUUAAGAAAAAACCCAACAAACAAAACCCAACAGAAAGUUCAGCACUUAACUUGCCUGAACAAGAUUGAAGCUGACUUUUUGAUGCCUUGAUCUUACCCAAGGCGUGCUGCAGUCACGUCAGUCAGUGAGAAGUGGAUGUCCCAGCAGAAAGUUCAAUACCAAAGGUAGCAGAGGUGACUUUGUGGUGUGGUGUUUUUCUCACGUGCCCACCUGUAUACGCACACACAAUCCCCACACAAAUGUGCUUCCUUCCCCAGCUGGUCCUUGCUGCAGGCACACAAACAGCUUUCUCCUGCCUAUUUCCACCAUCUUUUGCCUUUUUGGCGUGUGGAGAAGCUGGAGAGACUCUAGGUAGUGCUCAAGAGAUGGUAUUGGUGCCUUACAGAGGCCACAACUGCCCCUUUGACUAUUUCUUGACUAAUGCUGUUGAGAAGUCAUGGUGGUGUUGCUCAUGCAGUGCUUUGGGACAGCCAAUCUGGUUGGCUCUUCGUUGGAUGGGUGAGCUUAGAAGUGUUGGAUGGAUAAGCUUAGAAGUGUUGCUUGGCCAUGCCAACGUCACUGGUCCUGCCAGAUCACCUUAUCCCUACCCCCUUUGUGGAGGUGGCCAGUGCCUCGAGCAACCUGGUUUAGUGGAAGGUGCCCCUGCCCAUGGCAGGGGGGUUGGAACUGGAUGAUCUUUAAGGUAUCCUCCAACUUAUGAAUCUGUGAAUCCUUACCAUCACCCUUAUGCUUCAGUUGGCCUUAGCACACAUUGGCCUUCACCCAGUCACCACUGAGAUUGUGGAGCUGAAGAGACUUCAUGUGGGGUUUCUUCCAUCGUUGUUUUUCAUUGAGUUGAGCAGCAGAAGAGGGUUAUUGGAUGCUGGUGCCCUUAACUUCAUCGAGAUCACUUCAGUUGGGGAUUUUAUUUUGCUUUGUUCUCAGCCUUCAAACUGACAAAGGUCUUAGGGUCUAAGAUCUUUCCCAUCUUCUUGUACAUAGACGUGAUGGGGAGUGUGGUGCAUGUAGGUGUACACCAACCAGUAGCACACAAGCACAACCAUCCAGACGUGGCAGUGCUGUUUCUCUUGAGCCACCAUUCAAGACACUGAUGGAAAGCUGCUAUAUUCCUUCACCUUCUCGUGGUUAUCUUCUGUCUUUUAUCUUUCUUUUUGUUUUGUGUGUGUGUGAUUUUUCUUUUGUUUGGUUUUUUUUUUUUUGGUCACAUGUGGGCUCUAGACCAUGUGUUAAAUAUGCAAUAACUUGUUUACAGGAUGCUCUGGUAAAGGGUGGUCCUUUGUGAAGCUGUACAGACUUUGCAGUUCAAGCACAAUGUGCACACGUUAGUUUUCUAUACGGCCAGAGGUGACUUUUUGCAGCGGGAGAGGUUCUACUAUGUUUCUACACAGAGUUAAAUGGCUUCAGCCUUUGUGCUUCAUGGAAAAGCUGCUUUCUAUGACUGUAAAAUAAAGGUUUUUUAUCAUAAGAGAUACAA